rnacentral:lncRNA from 1 species
AUUAGUGCCACACCCGUGGCAUAUGGAGGUUCCCAGGAUAGGUGUCCAAUGAGAGCUGUAGCUGCCAGCCUAUGCCACAGCCAUAGCCAUGCCAGAUCCGAGCCACAUUUGUGACCUACACCACAGCUCACGGUAAUGCUGGAUCCUUAACCCUCUGAGCGAGGCUAGGGAUUGAACCUGCAACCUCAUGGUUCCUAGUCGGAUUUGUUUCCGCUGAGCCCCAACGGGAACUCUGGUAUUUACAAUGUUCUUAAUUUUCAUUUAACCACAUAAGCAGGUGUUUAUAUUGAAUAAUAUGUGAAUUAUAUAUGAGUAAAAACAUUCCGUUUUAUUCACGAGUCAUGCUGGGGAUUGCAAUCUUAAGAACUUUAAUUUCAUCUAAAUUUUAUUAAUCAGUUUAAAAAAUUGUUCCUUUUCCCCCCAAUACCAGAACUCAAAGGCUUCUUGAACUUUAUUUCCCAAAGGCAGCAGAAUGUGCUCUGAACCCCUGCCAUGUAAUCUUGUAUUAUGAACCCUUUCCAUUUAUGACUUCUAGGCAGCUAAAAAAAUCACUCCUCAAAUCACUUUAAAUCAUCUAUAAAUCACUCCCUUAUAAUCAAGAGCCCUUCCUUCUAGUAAGCUAUUCAAAAGAUAUUUCCAAAAGUGAGAAGGCUGACCAAUGAUUUUCACAAGAUAACGCAGUGUAAAAAAUUGGGACAUUCAUCUGAGAAAGACCUGAGUUUGGGUUCCUGGUCCAUUACUUACAAGCUUUGUGACCUUAAAUAUUUUUUAUUUUUUUACGAGUUUCAAUUUCCUUCUCAUGAAUUGGAGAUGCCCACACUUACCCCAUACUGUUUUUGUGAAUAUUAAAUAAGAUACUUAUGUAAAUUUCAACAGAUUAAUGUCUAUACAGAAAAAUUGUUAAUUCUAAUCCCUACUGAUUUAUAAAUAGAGUCAUCACAAUAGAUGUGAACAAACAGUUUGACCUUUACAAUAACUUUGCAAAAUCUCUGAGUAGAAAACUUUUUUGUACCAGGGUAGAAUGUUUAAAAACUUGGCUUUACAAACAAAUAGCAUCUGCCACUAUAAAUAUUGAUACUUUAAAAUGUCUAUGUUUCUCACAGUGUGUGUGUGUGUGUAUGUGUCUUUCUAAAUUUUUGAGACAGAGUUCUGUUGGAUCCAGUUUUUUGUGUGUUGGGUUUUGAGGUGCUGCUCACUCAACUAAAGGGAAACUAUUUAAAAUGCCAAGUUUCUGACAGAUGUCUCUGAGCAUAUAAUGACUGAUUAAAUCUAAAGCAGUGAAUUCCAUGAUUACCUAAGUUUACAUACUAUCUAUGUGUUAACAGCUAGUGGGAGUAUCCCAUUUGUUUGCUUUGGAUGUUAUGAAUUGUUUGUGAUGAUAUUAUUUUUCCUUCUCCAAAGUUGUGGUUAGAUUAAGGACUGAGUGUUUUGCCAAGCACACAUCCUUUUGAAGUGGUUUGUAUUACAUUUUUAGGGAAAUAUAUUUUGGGGGUAAUUUUAAUUGUUUAGAUGAUCAUAAAAUUUGUACACAGAGAUCAGAUAAUAAUAGCAGCUAAAAUUACCAACCUUUACCCUAGAAAAUGAUAACAAAUGAUUUGCACAUGUCAUUUCCCCUAAACCACACAAUCUGUCCAUUAGAUGGGUGUUAUCAGGGAAAGUAAGUAACUUGUCCAGGGUUGGAAAACUUAAUUUCAGAAGCCUAAAACAGGUUGGAACUUUUAAAAUGAGCGUGAAAAUAUAAGCCGUCUGAUUUCCUAGAAACAAAUAGAAAUGAAUACAAGAUCAAAUAUCAAAUUAUUAGACUACAUGAGAGAAUAAAAGAUAAAGCAUCACUCCCCAGAGCUCUGGUGAGGAAGUCUGUCAGCAUUAUUUUCCAAUAGGGCUGAAAAAUAUUUGUUUUGAUCUCACAUCCAGCUGCAUCCCCUCCCCUGGACUAUGGAAGAUCAGUGGGUUAAAUUCUAAUCUCAUAUUCAGUAAUGGAAUGUUUUGAAUACUCAAGUUGAGUGAGGAACACAUACUAUUCAUUUCUGUAUCUUAAUACUGACUAUUCUGUGAAUUCUGGAUUCCCACAUUCAAGUACCUGCUAGAUAUUCGCAUUUGGACAUUUACCACAAUUUCAGCUUCAAUGUAUCUAAAUGUAAGAGGGCCAGCUAUAUGCACAAACAAGUAUUUAUUACCAAGACCAUCAGGACAGGCAUUAGACUCCAAGGCCUGAUUUCUUGUGUUCCAAUUAGAUGUUACUCCUUAUCUGUGUGAACAAAUAAAUACAUCAUCUUUGCUUCACAUUUCCCAUCUAUGCAGUGGAAAUAAUAACACUUAUUUUAUGGGAUUGUUAUGAAGAUGAAAGGAAUUAUUGCAUGUAAAGCUCUUAGUCAAGUGCUGGGCACAUAGCAAGUACCAUGGCAAUAUUAGUGGUUAUUAGUUUUCUUCUCAUUCAUCCAGGCUGAAAACUAUAGUCUUUUGUUUGGAUUACUAGAUGUGGGCAGGAUGUGGGAGCAAGGCUAAGGGAGCAGUUAGCUGCUGAUUCCUGUUAGUCCUUCUUUUGGAAUAUUUAUCCCAUUUUCUAUAGUCUUCUCCAUCACAAAAGUAAUCUUUUUAUCGCUGGUAAUUUUGUGCCUACAGUUUACGCCCUAUACCACCAAAAGAUCUAUCUUUUUAAACAAUGAUUUAACAGAAUUAGUCUCCUACUCAAAAACAUUCAAUGUUUAAUGCUAUAGCAUAUAGUGCAAAUUCCUCAUUCUGGGAAGAAAAUCCCUUCAAUCCAGCCCCAACCUAUGUUUCUAGCCUCAUCUCUCUCUCUUGUAUGUCAAGGAAGCUUAGACAAACCAGUUCACUCAAUGCUCUGUGCUCUCCUUCACGCCACGUUCCUAGGGCCUGAAUAUCCUCUUAUCACUAUUCAAAUCCUACCUGCACUCUUGGGUCAGCUCCAAUUUUGUGUCCCCCAAAAACUCUAGGCAUGCCAUAAGCUCUAUAACUUGGAGCACACAUGAAGGGCAUCAGGAUAAAAAGUCAAAUUUUAUUAAUUCCAAGUGCACAUAUAUAGGGGAUGAUUUUAAGCAAAGAAAAGGUAGGGGGUUUGAGAAAUAUUCAAUGAAUUGUAAAAUUUUAAAACUACUCAAUUAUUUUCAUAUUUAUAUAGUGAUGCAAGCAAUGACUGAGGUAACCAGCAAAGGGCUUUCUGUAUCCUAUUUUGAUAUAUAGGUCUCUUGUAUAACUUUAUGCUUGAAAUCACUGUUCAAGAUCAAAUUAACAGCCCUCUCCAUUUCCCUUGUCCAUUCUGCUAUGAGUUAUACUCCUAAGAAAUCUUGCAGCUCAAAAAAAGUCAAUGGAAAAAACAUGAGUUUCAGAUUCAUAACAUUGUUGAAUAAGGAAUUUCAAUAAAUGUGCUUUCUUAUAGCUAUAGAUGUAUGAUUAUAAAAUGUAAACCUUACUGAGAAAACCCAGUAUUUUAUUAUAUCAAAGCUUUUCUCAACUACUGCUAGCACCACUGAUAGCCAGAACUUCUUAUCAUUCCUCUCAUCUCAUAUACUAAAGGAAGCAGAGCUGCUCAAAUAAAGCAGGAGUGCUGUGAGCAAGUUAUAGUUUCCUCUCUGAGGAUGGGGAAGGUUCCUAAUUAAGACUGCAUUACAAACAGAUGAUCAUGUCAUGCAAAUUGAAAGCUGACACUGUACUUGAAUAAUUUUUCCAUAGAAAAGGAAAUAUUAACUUCACAACUACCUGCCAAAUUAUCAUGAAUUGUCAUUUACAGAAGUAAUUGCAAAGACUAAAGAACCAGGUAAUCUGGAUUCUGAUUUGACCUUGGGCAAAUCAUUUAAGACUAAAGAUUUGAGUUGUCACACCUAAAAAAAUAAAGGGUGGGAUAGAUGGUUUCAAAUACCCCCAAACACAUCAAUAUUUCUAUGCCCUUUUCUUUUCUUACCUAUAAGGCUAUAUAUUAUUUGUGCAAGGUUCUGUUACCCACUUACCAUGACCUUAAAGUUCAAUGAAUAUGUCUAUUCUCACAUACCUUACUUUUAAAAGAACUAGAUUAUAAAUUCUUAAUAUUGAAAUAGUUAUAAAUUUUGAAUUUUCUUUUAUAAUUCAAAAGACAUUUUGGAUUUUAAAUGCCCUGUUCCAAAUACCACAUAAUUACCUAAAAAAUUCAGUAGAUUCAUUGUCUUCAUACUUUUUUCUAUACUUCACAGUAUCAUAUAUAUAUAUUUUUUUGGCCUUGCUCAUGUCAUGCGGGAGUUGUGGGGCCAGGGAUCAACCCAGUGCCACAGCAGGGACCUGAGCCACUGCAGUGACAAUGCCCGUCCUUAACCUGCUAUGCCACAAGGGGAACUCCAUGUAUUUUUAAUGACUCUAAAACCCUAACUACAUUACUGCAUUUCCAAGGCCUAAUAGUUUAGUCUUGUUAAUUUUGCUUUCAGAAUAUUUCAGAAACAUAGUCUCCUUUUGUGGAGACAAGAAGCAUCAAAUAAUUGCUUAACAUGUUAAUGUUAAUGUUCUGGGAUUAUUUGAAAUCCGAGACCAUGUUGGAUCUUUUGGUUUAACACAGCAUUUAGUGAUUACUUCAGGAUUUCUUGGUUAUCUUGCUGGUGAGGAUAAUGUGAACACCUCACACCAGGUCUCAUUGCUUUCUUUACGUGUUGUGUUAGUGGUCAGGAGUUCUUCUCCCAGUCUUUCUUUUGUGAUUCAAGCAACUGGAAUGCACUGUGACAAACAGAUACCUUUAAGGUUUCACAACCUGAAAAAUGAAAAAAAAGAUGUUUAUAACUACUGAACAGUUUUUGUUGUUGUUGUUAUUUCUAGGGCUGCACCCGUGGCAUAUGGAUGUUCCCAGGCUAGGGGUCUAAUCAGAGCUGUAGCUGUCACCUAUGCCAGAGCCACAGCAACGCCAGAUCCGAGCAGUAUCUGCAACCCACACCACAGCUCAUGGCAAUGCCAGAUCCUCAACCCACUGAGCGAGGCCAGGGAUCGAACCCGCAACGUCAUGGUUCCUAGUCAGAUUCGUUAACCACUGAGCCAUGACGGGAUUCGAGCAGUUUGACUUAUUAUGCUGAAGAUUCGAUUUAUAUUUUAAAGAUAACACCUCAGUUUUGCAGACCAAAUAAUAGCAUCUGGGUAAUAGCAUUAAGGAAAAAAAAAAGGCCAAGUAAUGAAGUCAUUAGCCAAGUAAGGAAUCCAUCUAAAUAGAAUAGUUUAAAUUUUAAAUCGGCAUAGCUGAUAAGGUAGGAUAUUCUUCUUUAAAAAUCAGAAGCCCCAAAUUCUUUGCAAAAAUGGAAGUCCCAACUUCGAGGAAUUCUAUGUAAUUGGAUGGUGACACCUAUUGGCCAGAUUUAUCACUGCAAGCCUGUUAUUUCAAACAUCUAUAAGCAUAGUUAAAUAAAGGGUUAGUGAAGUCCCAGGGACAAAAUUAGGGAUUCUUAUCCAUUUAAGAUAUUCAUAUUGUGGAUACAUAUUAAUGUAAUAUUUUAAAUUAGAUAAACAUACCUCACAUAUAUCUGUUUUGCUUUUAGAAGUUGUUUUGUUCACUAGAUAUAUGCUCUAUGAAAUGGAGUGGUACAGUGGAAAGACCAACAGCUAAAGGCAAUCCUGGGCUGCCAAUCCUGGACUCCUCCUGCUGACUGGGACCGAACUAUCCAUAUCAACUACAGGAGAGAUCUGCUAUCAGAAAUGACUGUGAAGUAAUGAGAUUGACUUUUACAUGUAAUUUAUGUAAUUAAUUAGUCUCAGUGCUUUUCAGAUAUCCUUCAUAAUACUCAAUGUCAGAAAACUAGCUAUGUUAAGCUUCUACAGAAUCUUUAACUUGCCAGUGAAAAUAAAUUUAAAAAUGAAAAACAGGAUUAAUUUGAGAAGCAGGCCAGUACAUCAUACCUUUUCUACUUUAUCACCACACACACUUAAUUUUCUUGGAGGGAAUCCAUGUUCACUGUUAUAAACAAAACUUCUGAAACAAAACCCAUAAAGCUUUCCGAUAGGCCCAACUUUAAUAUCAAUUGUAUCUCCACUGUAGAUGCCUUGAUCAACUCUCAGGUUUUUUCCAAUAUACUAAAAUGAUUUUUGCCACCUGGAGACAUUAUUGUCCUGAAUCAAUGUAGAGCUUGGAGCUUAUUUGCAUAAAAGUACAUAGUAUGUUGAUCUACAUUUGAUUCUAAGGUAACUAUAAAUAGAGAGCAAUCUAAAAGCCAAGUGUUCAUCCAUUUGAGAUUAAUUGCCUCUUCCAGGUCACUAAUUCAUACUCCAAUGUCCCAGGAGAGUUAAUUUAUGUCCCAUGAGUG